rnacentral:rRNA from 1 species
ACGCUCGACACCUACGGGAGACAGCAGUGGGGAAUAUUGCACAAUGGGGGGAACCCUGAUGCAGCGACGCCGCGUGAGUGAAGAAGUACUUCGGUAUGUAAAGCUCUAUCAGCAGGGAAGAAAAUGACGGUACCUGACUAAGAAGCCCCGGCUAACUACGUGCCAGCAGCCGCGGUAAUCUGAGCGGGCUGGCAAGGC